UUCCUGUCCUAAUAUGAGAUCAUUUCCUGUACACUGUCAUGUAGGACUGCAGGAUAUUGGCAGACUAUCUAGGCCUUGUUUUUAAACAAAUGUUGCAAUUACGAUUUGACUUGCGAUUCAGAUCAAAACAGCUGGGUGAACUGUUGGAAUCAUGGAAUGAGAAUGACUAUUCUAAUUCUGUAGUUAGAAUGUAAUAGUGAAAACUUUAAAUACAGUGUUGGUUGGCAUGACAACAAAUGAAAAAGCCAGGUGAUGAGUUAUUGUGCCAGGGUAGGAACUAAAGUAUCGGGAUGUGUUUCCCAGAGGACCCUAUAAUCUUUAGCUACAUUAAAUGUUUUCUCUUUCAUUCUUAUAGCCAUAACAUAUUCAUGCUCCACCUAUUCCUCUUUGAUUUAGAAGCUACUGUUGAACAAACAACAUGCGGAUUUAGUCCUACACCAUCACUGGUAUCAGGCUGUACCAGCUAGCUACGUUUGGUCUGACUCAGUACAUGUAUUAGCUAGCUAGCCAACUAGCGAUUAGCAUUAGAGGCUAACACGAUUUAGCCACAACUUUGCCUAGAAAAAAAAACUAAACUAGCUGUUUAGAGACAGCAAGAUACACAAACUAACAGUGGAAUUAUUGAACGCUUAUAGAUGUAUAUUAAGAAGCAAAGUGGAAAUCAGUAUCGGUAUCAUGUGCUGCAUUUAACGGUAUGCAGACUGAACGCAAACGGUCUCGUAGUCGAGCAACAACAACUGAGUGACGGGUCGCAGCUUUGGUCUGUGUGGAAAACGGCAUAAAGAGAGCGGAGGGCUUGGUGAGAGAUACGGGAGAGAGAUGACUCAGCCAACCAGCCAGGCAGCCAGGAAACCAGCCAACCAGCCAGCCAGCAAACCAACCAGCCAGCCAGUCAACCAGCAAACCAGCCAACAAACCAGCCAGCAAACCAACCAGCCAGCCAGUCAACCAGCAAACCAGCCAGCCAAUCAUCCAACAAACCAGGAAGCCAACAAACCAUCAAACCAGCUAGCCAGCCAGCCAUCCAACAAACCAGCAAGCCAACAAACCAUCAAACCAGCCAACCAACCAGCCAGCCAGCCAACCGGCCAGCCAGCCACCCACCAUUAAAUGAACAAUCCCCCUUUUAAUUGAAGUAACCCGGUGAUGUAGAGGUUUGACAGAUGACAGUAGUUUUGAUGGGUAUCUCUUUUCAGUCAUUGUGUUGUGUUGUGUCUGCCUUCCUCCUGUCCUACCCUACUGCUGGUUACAAAUGUGUUAUUCCAGUGUCAUACAGAUCGCUACAGAGUAAUUAUAGUUUGAGGAGAUAUGAGGCGCGUGGUGUUGCCUCAACCGAUACGCCUCCGAUCUCUCCUUCCCCUUUGUCAGCGAGGGACGGAGGGGAAUAGCAAACAGGCAGAGGAGAGGCAGAUUGAGUCCAACAUGCGCCCUAUUCCAUCACGAGGCUCUGAUCAAAAGUUGUGUACUAUACAGGGAAUAGUGUAGGGUGCCAUUUCAGAAAAAUAGCUUUUUAUUUGACAGUAUUCAACAACAGUGUCUCUCUGUGGUGCUGCUGCAGGGAGCAGCCAAUCACCUAGAUGUUGGCACGGCCACCACUGGCACAUGUGAGUCACUCCAGCCAGUCAGGGACAACACAGAACACCCUGUCGCCACGGGGACAGCCUAUAGGGUGAAAUCGAUGACGUACCAAGGUGAGGGUGCAUCAUCAGAAUAUUGAUCAAGUGCUAAUUCCGAUAAACCGAGACCAGAUAAUGAUGUUUCCUUACCCAGAACCACCCGGGCCAUAACUAUGGACCUCUGGGCUGUGAAGGUAGGGAUUUCAUCCCAAAUGAAACUCUUUUCCCUAUAUAGUGCGCUAACUUUGACAAGGGCCCUAUUGAAAGUAGUUCACUAUGUAGGGAAUAGGGUGCUAUUUGGAACGAAGACAGGGAGUUCCUCUUAAUCAGAUCAAUAACAAAAACUGAGUUUACAAAACAUUAAGAACACCUUCCUAAUAUUGAGUUGCACCCCCUGUUGUCCUCAGAACAGCCUCAAUUCGUUGCGACAUGGACUCUACAAGGUGUCGAAAGUGUUCCACAGGGAUGCUGGCCCAUGUUGACUCCAAUGCUUCCCACAGUUGUGUCAAGUUGGCUGGAUGUCCUUUGGGUGCUGGACCAUUCUUGAUACAAACGGGAAACUGUUGAGUUUGAAAAACCCAGCAGUGUUGCAAUUCUUGACACAAAUCUCUGGGCCUGGCACCUACUACCAUACCCAUUCAAAGGCACUUAAAUCUAUUGUCUUGUCCAUUCACCCUCUGAAUGGCACACAUAACCAAUUCUCAAUUGACUCAAGGCUUGAAAAUCCUUCUUUAACCCGUCUCCUCCCCUUCAUCUACACUGAUUGAAGUGGAUUUAACCAGUGACAUCAAUAAGGGAUUCAUAGCUUGGAUUCACCUGGUCAGUCUGUCAUGGAAAGAGCAGGUGUUCCUAAUGUUUUGUACCCUCAGUGUAUGAUUGUAAUAUCAACUUUGUCUGAACUCAAAGUCACAUUGCUGAUCGAUUGAAUUAACUGAUUGAUUGAAUUAAAGUGUCCCAAAUGA